rnacentral:rRNA from 1 species
AAAACUUCCAACAACGGAUCUCUUGGCUCUGGCAUCGAUGAAGAACGCAGCGAAAUGCGAUAAGUAAUGUGAACUGCAGAAUCCAGUGAAUCAUCGAAUCUUUGAACGCACAUUGCGCACGCCAGCAUUCUGGCGGGCAUGCCUGUUCGAGCGUCAU